rnacentral:siRNA from 1 species
UCCUGAGUUAGAGCAGAUCCUGGA